AUUGUAUUAUCCAGCAAUUUGACAUUUUAAGUCAAGAUGUAGUGAGCAUUCUGUAUUAAUUAAUAAUUGAACUUUUAAAUAAUCUCAAUUUGUCUUGGCCCACUAUCAAACUGGGACUUUUGGGAUAGUGCCUUAACCGAUUAGGCUGUCACAGCAAUGUUAAUUUCUGUUUCAUGUAAUUAAUACAGAUUUUCCUCACUUUACAGAUUGUUUUAUGCCAUUUCCACCUAUAUUAUUAUCCGGUUUGUUUUUUAUGAAAGACUUGCAUUUAACCUUAUUAUUCUCUUUAACCAAAAGAAAUUAUAAGAAUAUCUCCUUCAUUUUUGUGAAAAAAAGGAGAAAUGCGAAAAUAUUGUUCAGUAUUUACUUUUCAGAUAACCAUUAUAGUAGCAGUAUGCAUUCUGAUCUCUGAAAGUGGGGCUGUUAAGUUCCUUUCUAGGACAACAUGCAGUAUCAGCCAUCAUAACUUUAAACUGUCAUUGAACAUUUUUGCUUUAUUUUGUACAUCUAUUCUCAAGAUAGGCUUUUCUGAUACUUUAGACCUAAUAGUUCAUAAGGAUGUUACACUUGGUAUAGAACUAAACAUAUACCAAAUAACAUAACAGGUUGUGCAUGUUGUUUGGGAUGAUUUGGUGGAAUUUUUGAGUCUGGGUUAGUUUAAUGUAAUCUAACCUAUCACAUUGCACAUGGGAUAAAACUAUUAGAAAAAUAAAAAAUUUCUUGUAUUAACACCAUUUAUUAAAUUUUUUUUUUGCAUGCAGAUUUUGAUUUUUACUUUAUUUUUCUACUCCAUAGUGUCUUACUGCUAGAGAUCUAUAAUACUUGUAUAUAAAACUGUAUGAUCUAUAUUAAAAUAAUCUUCUGACCAGCUCCAUAAUUUUUUACUUUAUUGCCUUUCUCAGAAUAUACUUAAUCUUCUAGAACAGCGUUUGGCAAUCUUUUAGAUAUUGCAGACCACUAACAUAAUUUUUAAUCUGUUCACAUGUUCCUGUUGGUUCCGUGACUUUUGUCGAGAGUCUUAGUUC
rnacentral:lncRNA from 1 species